UGCUCUGCUACUUGGCCUCCUUGGUUUGCUUAUACACAAAUAUCAUCCAGAUGAUACUGAAAUGCAUAAAUGGGUUGGCUUCAGUGAUGUUUAACUCACUAUGAUAUCAUCUGCAUGAUAACUGGAACUGUGUCAGGAGCCCAUGUUGCAACACAUAUGAGACCUUAACAGUGUUCUUGAUCAUGCUCAAGCUUUGGAUCUGUCCAAGACUUUAACACAUUUCAGGGAUGUUUUGGAAGCACGUCAGGUCACAUCUAUGCUACAAAUAAGGAAAUGCGCUUUAACUGUGUCAGCAGACAACUAUAUUGGAACUAGAAUACCGCUCCUCCACCCCCAACCCUCCCAGUGAUGUAGCUCUACAUAUAGCACAAUGGAACCUAAGUCUGUUACGUACUGGUAAGCUCCGUGCAUGUGCAUCUGUGGUUUCUCCAUUUCCCCCACCCCCACCAAUCACAAUUUGGUCUAGAGAUUUACCAGAGAAGAGAAUAAACAACUAGAAGAGUAGCAUAAUGAUUAAAUGUCUUAUUGUUCCAUUUCAAAAUCCAAUGGUAAUCUGUUUGUAGUCCAUUGUGUAGUUGAUAGUCUGUAGAGAUAGUGAAUCAAAUUUGUGGAAGAAUAUCAAUAUCAACUCCAGUUGCUGAGCCAAAUGUCUUCAAAUAGCAAUUGGAAAAUGUUUUGCAGCUGGAUGUUAGGCACAGCAUACACACGCAAGGGUGAAAGGGGAAACUUUCAAAUCUCACAAGACUAUUCACAGGAAAGCUAGGAAUUAUUAUACCAGAUGAGAUCAAUGGUCCUACUUAGUCCCAUAUCAUGUUUCUGACAGUGGCCAGGACUUCAUAUUUCAGAGAAUGAUUUAAAAUCCUUAUGGUCAAUGGACAACUCUGGCUGUACAGAAUCCAGAUAUUCUUGAAUGAAUAGGGUCUCCAAAUAUCAAAUCCUCCAUAUUUGAUGACCAACCUUCCACCUGUCCUGAUUAGCUAGUUCCUGUUAGAACACUGAUUUUUGGUAGUUGCCAAACUUCUUUAAAAGAAUGUGUAGUUAUGAAAAACCACUGUCAAAUACCAUAGUUAAAAACUAGUUUUAUAUUUUAAUUUCAAGUGUUUUAACAAGUCUCUUAGAAGACUGAAAAGAAUUAAUUAUAAAAAGCAGUGCAGAUAAACUAACGUUAAAUAAUAUUUUGGUGCUUAUUGCUUAUAUGGUAAGAUAUACUGUGAUGCAAAUUUUAGACUAUUCAAACUUGUAGUGAAAGAGGAAUUAUGGCAGGCUUGCUAGUAUACACAGCAAGGAGAGUGUGGAAUGACUGGAGCACAUUCCCAGCUCUGCACUGACCUCCUGGGUGACCAAGGGCAAGUCAUUUCUCUUUCUGCUUCAAUGGCUUAAUCUCAUAAAAAGAUGAUAAAACUUCCCUACUUAACAAAAAUGUUUUAAGUUUAAGGUUUAGUAUUGAAUAUUAAGUGAUGUAUCCUUGCAGGGUGGGGCGGGGAGGCGGGGAAGGUAUUAUAAAUGUACAAGGAUUAUUUCACCCAUUUUACAGAUGGGGAAAUGGAUGCACUAAAUUUAAGGGAUUUAGUCACCUGAAUCCCUUAAUUUAAUUCAAUUAAAUUUGGACACAAAAGCAUGGUGGGGCAGGUAAAGAGGAACAAUACAACCAUUGGUUGUGAGGGAGCUGUGCCACUAGGGAAGAAUGGGAAUGGGGUUAAAUCAAUGUAGACGUCGCAGGAGCUACAAAGGUAGCAACAUUUUUGUCUUCUUGAUCACCAAUGCUCUAUAUCUUUAGAGCCCCCAAUGCCUUCCCAAACCCUCUUUCACUGAGGGAAGCAUUGGAAAGAAUCUCUUCAAGGUGAACUGUGACAAUUCCAAGACCUUCUGUCCCCUUCCUUGAAAACCAAUGCGUAGGCUCUAUUUGAAGAAAACAGACUGUAAACAGUUCAUUAUUGUUUGUUUAUAAUGUGUGUGAGAGAGUGCAAUCUACCCUUUGAUUGUUGACUGCAGCUUAGAAAAAACAUAAGGAUUCACCUAUAUUUCACCGAAACAAAGACUUUCCUUUAAUUCAAGGAUUUUAGAGUAAAGGACUUGAGUUCUAGUGCUGACUUUACAUUUGGAAAAUGUUACAUUGCAUAUUUCAGAAACCACCUUAACUCUGCACUUUGUAUAGCUGCCCACCAUCUAUAUAACAGAUAGUAGUAUACUUAUAACAACCACAAUUUCAAAAAUGGAAUUAGAAAUUCAAUACAUUCUGCAGAAAGACUAUAGUCUCAAAAGGAGUAAGCAACAAGCUGUGAUCUGAGACCACAAGAUGGGAGCCAGGAAUUUAACGUUUUUCAGUCCUGCCUCUCUCUCUUCUUGUUUUCCCAUCUGUAAAAUGAAGAUAAGAUUUGUCUGCCUCACAGAUCUACUGCAUGGAUAAAUUAAUGUUCAUAAAACAUUUUCUAAUAGUGCUAGAUAC